rnacentral:rRNA from 1 species
UGGGGAAUUUUGGACAAUGGGCGCAAGCCUGAUCCAGCAAUGCCGCGUGCAGGAAGAAGGCCUUCGGGUUGUAAACUGCUUUUGUACGGAACGAAACGGUCUGAAUUAAUACCUCGGGCUAAUGACGGUACCGUAAGAAUAAGCACCGGCUAACUACGUGCCAGCAGCCGCGGUAAUACGUAGGGUGCAAGCGUUAAUCGGAAUUACUGGGCGUAAAGCGUGCGCAGGCGGUGAUGUAAGACAGUCGUGAAAUCCCCGGGCUCAACCUGGGAAUUGCGAUUGUGACUGCAUCGCUGGAGUGCGGCAGAGGGGGAUGGAAUUCCGCGUGUAGCAGUGAAAUGCGUAGAUAUGCGGAGGAACACCGAUGGCGAAGGCAAUCCCCUGG